GAUGAACGCUAGCUACAGGCUUAACACAUGCAAGUCGAGGGGAAACGAUAGAGAAAGCUUGCUUUUUCUAGGCGUCGACCGGCGCACGGGUGAGUAACGCGUAUCCAACCUGCCCAUCACUUGGGGAUAACCUUGCGAAAGUAAGACUAAUACCCAAUGACGUCUCUAGAAGACAUCUGAAAGAGAUUAAAGAUUUAUCGGUGAUGGAUGGGGAUGCGUCUGAUUAGCUUGUUGGCGGGGUAACGGCCCACCAAGGCGACGAUCAGUAGGGGUUCUGAGAGGAAGGUCCCCCACAUUGGAACUGAGACACGGUCCAAACUCCUACGGGAGGCAGCAGUGAGGAAUAUUGGUCAAUGGACGAGAGUCUGAACCAGCCAAGUAGCGUGCAGGAUGACGGCCCUAUGGGUUGUAAACUGCUUUUAUAAGGGAAUAAAGUGAGUCUCGUGAGGCUUUUUGCAUGUACCUUAUGAAUAAGGACCGGCUAAUUCCGUGCCAGCAGCCG
rnacentral:rRNA from 1 species